UGGAACGGAACUUUACCGACAAUAAAUGAAGUACGUUACAGUACAGGUGAAUUAAGUACAGGUAAGUUAAGUAGAGGUAAAUUAAGUACAGGUAAAUUAAGUAGAGAUAAACUAAGCAGAGGUAAGUUAAGUACAGGUAAGUUAAGUACAGGUAAAUUAAGUAGAGGUAAGUUAAGUACAGGUAAGUUAAGUACAGGUAAAUUAAGUACAGGUAAAUUAAGUAGAGGUAAGUUAAGUACAGGUAAGUUAAGUACAGGUAAGUUAAGUACAGGUAAGUUAAGUAGAGGUAAGUUAAUUACAGGUAAAUUAAGUACAGGUAAGUUAAGUAGAGGUAAGUUAAGUAGAGGUAAAUUAAUUACAGGUAAAUUAAGUACAGGUAAAUUAAGUAGAGGUAAAUUAAGUACAGGUAAAUUAAGUAGAGGUAAAUUAAGUAGAGGUAAGUUAAGUAGAGGUAAGUUAAGUACAGAUAAGUUAAGUAGAGGUAAAUUAAGUACAGGUAAAUUAAGUAGAGGUAAAUUAAGUACAGGUAAGUUAAGUACAGGUAAAUUAAGUACAGGUAAAUUAAGUACAGGUAAGUUAAGUACAGGUAAAUUAAGUACAGGUAAGUUAAGUACAGGUAAAUUAAGUACAGGUAAGUUAAGUACAGGUAAAUUAAGUAGAGGUAAAUUAAGUAGAGGUAAAUUAAGUACAGGUAAGUUAAUUACAGGUAAAUUAAGUAGAGGUAAAUUAAGUACAGGUAAGUUAAUUACAGGUAAAUUAAGUAGAGGUAAAUUAAGUAGAGGUACGCUGGAAUUCGGCAACAGUGCAGUCAAGGAUCAAAGUUUGAUCAGCACCAGUUCAUCAAACGACCCAUUUGUUCA